GGGCCCUUCUCACCUGCAGGUCCUGGUGGUCCAGGCUCUCCUUUCUCUCCUUUUUGUCCUUUUAGGCCAGCGGGGCCAAGAGGACCUUGAGGGCCUCUGUCACCUUUAGGUCCCCUUGGACCAGGAGGGCCUGAAACAAUUUACACUGGAGACUUUUACUGCUUCCCCAAAACCAACAUGAGAAAAACAGUCCAAGACUAUCUGAUGGAACAUCACUGAGGAGUUACAACAGAGAAGAAGUCUCAGGAUCUUCAGAGACCAUACACCCUUUGGCUGGAGCCCAGAUCAACAAAGGUCCUUCAGCUACUUCUGACACUCCACUGCUGCAUGUAUACACCCAUGCAUCACAUGCAGAGAGAGUGAGGACUUGGCUUUUCCUUCUGGCUCUAGGCAGCUCCUUGUUCAGUCUGUGGUGUUCUCCUUUGUCUACAGAUAGUCACUGCCAGGGCAUGGCUCACUCUGGGCACUUGGAUUAUGCAAUCUUCUGUAUUAAAAAGCAGGCCUAAUUCAAAUGUUUCUGCUGAGCCUGUGCCUUGACUAGUAAUGUCACGUCACCUACAGUUCUUGUUAAUUCAGUUUUAGUGUGAUAUUCAAAUGUUUUCCCAGUUAUAUAACACAUUUGGAGUUAGUAAAUGAAUAUAUAUUAUCAGUAAUUAAAAGUAAAAUGUAAUUUCUUCCUUUUGCUGUCCAAAUGAAUGCUAGUUUGUACUUCAGAUCUGAAGUUUGUAAAACUUACCUAUCAUAUAACAAGUAUGUUUUCAUGGUUGAGUGAAAUCUAACACUGAAGCUUGAGUUAAAAUUUAACCCUGAAGAGUCCAAAGCAAAUGUAAACAAAACAGUAGUAAUCCUAUUAAUAAGUAGUUUUCUGGCAGUUAAUGAGACUGAACAGAAGUAAUUAUACAACAGCAUAAACAGCAUAUGGUAUUUUCAUUGUUCAAAGUGAAAAAAAAACCCCAAACCACCGAACUCCAGCAGCAGAAACAAACCUGCUGGUCUCUGCAAAGCUGACUGCAGGGUUAGCUCAAGGACUAAACUGCCAUCUCAUAGAUGAACCAAUGCAUGUAUUUGCUUUAUAUUGGAGUGGGAUCUUAGCCUCCAUGGUCAAAUAAAUCAUGGGUUUGGGGAACUUCAUCCCCUGACCAAACUCCUUCCCAAAGUAAGUUGUAGCUUAUUUACUUUUUUUGCUAUUGCCCUACAAGUGGAAAGAAUGAAUUUGGGAGAGAAUGAGUAGCAAGAGGCCAGUGUUGGGUUUUGUUGCUCUUGAUGUCAAAAGAGGUCAUAUGGACUGAUGUCCUGUUAUCGGGAAUAUCUUUCCUUCCCUGGAGGUGGCUUCCACCACCAUCUCUGGAUGGUGGUAGGUGAGCAUGUGGAACACUCUCAGAAGUGGAAGUCAGCCUCUAGCGAGUGUUCCAGAAGUGAAAAGCCACUUUCCACUUUCUCCAGAAAAAGGCAAACAGGCAGAUCAGCUGUAAUAUCCCACACAAAAGGCCAUGUUGCUGCUCCCAACAAUCUUCCUGAACUUAAACAGACAAAGUUGUGUUUGUCUUAACUUGCUAUUGGUUAACUUCAGCUUAAUUCAGAGCUUGGUCUCUCUGCAUUGUCAUCUCAAUUCCUGACAAGAUCACAAUGGAAAAUGUGGUAAAGGUCCUCUAAAGAAAGCCCAAAUUUCAAGUAGUUGCUGACCAGAACAGUGAGGACUGUUUGCAUCUAAGCCACUAAGACAAAAUGUGCCAUUUCACCAGGAUGUGUUGGCCCCAGGUAAUGGCAGAAAAACUAUGUCUGGGAGACAGAUAAAAGAAGCCGAUGAAAGUCAUGGUGGGCAUUACUCAAGAAACUUAAAAACAAGGACUGACUAGAGAAUAAAAACUACCAGAAAUUCAAGCUGCAAGCAUUCCCUUACUGGAAUGAGCCACAGGAAGAUCAUUCAUCUUCAAUAGACUAAUCCGACACCGGCUGGUGCCAGAAAAAUAAUAACUUUGUAUUUUUCAUUUAAUUUCAUAAAGUAUGUGCAAAAAUUGCAGAUUGCCUUAUUAAUGUUUUAAACAACAAUUUGUCUUCUCAAAGCAGAAGAAUACUAAACUUGCCUUGUUAUUCCUUCAUGUUGUUUCCUAGUUAUUCAUUCAUGUUUUGGUUUCAGGGUUCUCCAACAUACUAUGUAAUUUUUACCACUAGUUUGGAGGUUUGUGCUGUGUUGACUUUGCCUCCCAUUGAGUUACUUCUUUGCUUGCCAUAUUUAAUCCACUGAUUAGUAGUUUUAACAUUUUAAAUCACAAAGGAUAUUUAAAUGCGACGUAGGAAAUGAAAGUUUUAAAAGUAGUUUUGGGCUUUAUAAACACAAGAGUGGGAGGCAAAUUUAAUGGAAACUUAGCUAAGAGACUGAAAGAAUCCCUGAUGCCAGCAGAAUUCCUUCUUCCAGUGUAAUAGCGCAGUAAAAAAGAGAAGCCAAAUUAUGAUGCAGAGAGGGGAGUUCAGGAACAAUAUACUUUUAUUCCGAGUUUUGUUCUUCCUUUAAAGCCUAAUCCUUUCUCAACAAUAAAAACUGCUGCAGUAAUUAAUUUGAAUAUGUACUGUCAGCUGGGGUUUUAUCUAACUUAUGUUUUCCCUGCAAAUUAGCACAUAGGUACCCUGAAGACAAAGCUCUUAAACUGCAGGUACAAAGGGCAGAAUUAAUGCCUGACACAUGACAAUUUCCUGCUUGGUGUUACAGAAGGAAUACUUGGAUUCAACAAGACUUUUGUCUCUUUGCCUCUUUCGUUUGGCAUUCAACUGUUGCUAUCACCAAGCUGGUGAGUGGUGGGGCAGUGGUCACCAAAAUGUCUUGGGGUCUGCGAGCAAGAUAUGCAUUAUCCACCUUCCUACAAUGCCUUUUACAUUUAUUUUUGGAAGAGGGAAUUCUGUCCUGGAUAGCUGUGAUUUGGUAUUGCUGUGACAGAAAGACUCAUCCCUGACGAGUGACUGCUCAUUCAAAGAAGGAAGUUUAGAAAUGAGUGAAGCAAAGUUUGAGCCUCAAGAGGAGAGCAAAGCCUGGGGAAAAGAUGGUGCUGGAGUCCCCAUAGAGAAAGAAGCUUGGAAACUAGAUUGAAAUGAGGAAGACAAACUCCUUCUCCCAAAGUCUUCUGGACAGUUUCCUUAUUGCUACUGCUUCCUCCACACAUGCAAAUCAUGUGCCAAAGAAAGAUAAAGAGCAGCAGUCUCUCCAACUUGGUAUGCUGCAUCUGAUGCUGAGUGAGGGCUCAGUCUCCUGGGAAGCCCCAGAACUGAUAGCUCUGUAUAAAACUCUUGAGGGAAAUUGUGCUAAAUCCCAGUUGUUUAGUGGCUGGGUUAAGUCUGGAAGGAUCCCAUUCUCAUCUGAUGUAAGCAGAUCUCUGCAGAUUUAUAUCUGCAAAAGGCUUCCCCUAAUCCAUUUGACCAAAUGAUCUUAUAUUUAUAGAUCAAGAAUAAGUUUUUGAAUCCUGGAAGGUUUUUUGUCCCUCAUCUGACUUCCAGAGACCAGUUAUUUCAGGAGAUGCAGUCACAUACAUGUACUGCAUUUUUUUUCACAUUUGAUGUAAAUUUGCCACCUUCUCUCUGUUUUAUCAUGAAACAAGAUUACCUAAGUGUCUCUAUCUCUUCCUCACAUUCUCUCUUCUCCCUGGAUAAAUCUUCCAUCUAAACAAAACAGUUUUAAUUUUCUCCCACUCAAAACUGUGCCAAAUCCUCUUAAAUAAUUAUUUAUCCUUUCUAUUUCUACAAUUUCCUUUUCUUUCCCUGGCAAAGGACCAGAGGUGAUGUCAGCUCUGCUAUGAGUGCAGCUGUUGGCAGCACAGGAUGCACUGCAUGCUAAUCACAUGAAUAUUUACUCAGCUCCUUGGAGGGGUUUUGAAGCUACUCUCAGAGCCAUACUCAGACAGGUAGUUUAGAACUAGCUUGGUUUUCUCUGCAACAAACUGUGAUGCCCUGUUAUAAUGCUCACAAUGAUGUUGUUUACUUUCCUUUUCAUGCCAGAAAUCCACAUCUUAUUUAACUUAUUAUAGCUGUAACUGCACAAUAAGCAGGUAUUUUCAUCAAAAUAUUUUUAUAAAUGCCUAAGUGGCUACAGUUAAUUAGUGAUAAGGAUUUAUGGGAAUUCUAAGUCCUGUUUCCCAAUGUGCCCAACUAAUGACUUGCACAAGUGAAAUUCUCUCCAUUCCAGGGUUGCUCAACUACCAGAAUCUUUGAAAUUACUGUUAAAAGCACCUAAGUGUCUUUGCUCAUCACAAUUAUUGUGGAUAAUCAAUACACUGGUACCUCCUGGUUUAAUUUUUCUUCUUUCUGAUAUUUCAAAGUAAUAUUGACACUACAUUUUGUUUUUGUGAUAAAUAUUAUAUUAGUAAGAUCUGUCUGGCUGUUGCACAUGUUACACAGCUUUGUGUCUUCCAGUACUCCUUCUUGGUGGAGGAAUGAUCAUUUUGUUUUAACUUCCCUUUCAAAUGUCUAAUCUGGUUUCAAAAUUUCAUAAUUAUUUGAAAGUGAAGUUCUAAGGUUGCAGUUUGUUGUUACGUACAUACAAAAAGCCAACAUUGCCCAACUACUGAUAUUUAGGCUAAAAUGUGACAAAUUUCCUGGCUAGAUAAUAAGUGACAAUGUGUUUGGAUGCUUGUCUGAAAGUGAAAUGUUGGUCUCAAUGCAUACAUACCUUUGUAUCCCAGAAUGGCUACUGUGAUUGUUAACAGGGCACAUAAAAUGUAUAAUAAGAUGAUGGAGAACUUCAGUGCCCAGUUAUUUUUGCACUUGGUACAUUGGCUCCCCUCCUGAAUACCUGCAACAGAAGAUAAAGAAAUUUAAAACAAUUUCAAAGAAUACAGUGCUGGGUUUAUCUCCCUACCUCCUUUCCUUUUUUUCUAAGUAGCAAAUUAUUUAUCUAAGUAGAUGAUGUUUUCAUAUGGGGUGCCUAUUUGCCUAUGCUGCCAGGAUAAAAAAUCACAGUGGUUAGAACAUCUGCUCAAUGAAACAAUCACUUUGGGAUUUUAGCAUGUGUAAGAGAAGUAGGUUCUGCUUCACUGGAUGACCUCUGGCUUUCCUGAGAGGUGGCUGUUUUCUGAUUGUGCUAACAAGACUAUGGUGAGUUUUGGAAAUAAAACCUUUAUUAGCAUCUCCUCUGUCAGGCAUCACACUGCAGCAGCUCUCUCCUAGCAUUUGGUAUCCCUGUGGGGGCAAUAGGACACAACAAAUGUUCUAGCAGAAAAAAACCACAGAAAUAAAAGAGCAUUGUGAAAAACUGGUAGGAGUAGUUCUGCUUUGUAACAAUCACCACAGACAGUUACCAUGCAAACACUUUCUUUCCACAAUGAGACUUUUUGCAUAUUUUUGGGGGGUUUUGGAGAACACUAUUUCCACAGAAAAGAAGGGAUGCUUUACUGAUACAGUGAUCUGUUCAUCCACAGAAAAAGUGCUGGUGAAUUUCUCUUUGUGGACAAGCUUAAGAAAAAUGGCCUCAAAUUGAUGAAAGAAAACAGAGCUUUACUAUUCUAUAUUUAAACUUUUUUCCAGAACAGCUUGAUAUCUUUUAGUCUAUUAGGGAAGCAAUUUUCCUCUUUUGUGCUCCUUGGGAAUAGCUCAAGAGUGUUGGGAGCAUGGAUUAUUAAUCAGAAGCACAAAUGUGUAAAAACCUGAAAACUGGACUGACGUGCUGGAAGAAACAGAUGGGAUUUAUCCAUCUUUCUAAGGUACUUGAAGAAGGAAGGAUUACCAUAUUGGAGCAACUGAGGAAGAGGAUUUAUACAAAGUUUAUUUGACAAGACAUUUUCUUCAAUCCUCUCUGCACAUAUACUCGCUGUGGGUAAGGGAGAAAUGCAUCUUUUUCAGGUCUUUUCCACAUUACCUCAUCACAUGUUUUUUCUAAACUUUUCAGGUGUGACAUCACAUUCUGUUGCCAUGCGAUGAAAGUGAUGUCAUAGAUUUGGGUUCCUUGUGGUUUAGGCAUAAGACCAGCUGGGAACAUCUGGUUCUUUUUUCAAGAACAUUAUGGGAAAAUGAGACAAAGGCUUGUAAGCAUAAACUCAAGAACAGAAAUUCCAGAGGGUAAAGGCUUCUCUUCUGCCCAUGGGGUGGAAAGGGAGGGAGCUGGCACAGAGACAGGCAGCUCCACAGCCCAUUUAUUGAUGACUUGGAUUUGGAAGGGUGGUAACUCCUGCACCACAAAAGAAAAGGUGAAGGGUCCAUAAUUCAGUAGUCAUGUUUGCUUAUGGAUCUUGAUGCAUGGGCUGUUUUGCUUUCUUUGGUUUACAGUCUCAAGGAGUUUGCUGGUGAGAAAGCUCUAAGUGCUGAAAAAGCAGGAAAGGGAAAGUGCAGUUUUCUAAAGGUCUGAAAUAGGUAUUUAGAGACUGAAAUGAUUUCACAUGGGAACUUGGUGGUGUCUGGAGCACCAUACUGCUGGUCUUAGCAUGCCCUAAAUGCAAGGUUCCUUCUCACUGAAGGGUUUAAAAUUCAGAUUCCAAUUUGGUUGUCUUUGAAAGUCCCACAUAUCCAAAACCAAGCUUGGGGCAAAACUCACAUCACAUUCACUUUCUAAAUACAAGACAAAUAGAAAGUUUGAGCCUCCUUAUUUUAAUGUUAAUUGAAGUAGACCUAGAUCCUUAUCUGGGAAAAAUGAUGGACUGCAGAGGUACAAAACACAGAGAAAGGCAGAAGUAAAAACAAAGCCUUUGGCAGCAAUUGCACAAUGAAAAGUUUCACUUGAUAAGUGUCUCAUAGUCAGAUUACUCAUUUUAUGACAUGACCUGCUUUCUGUCACUGUACUCCGGUUUCCUGGGUAGUGUAACAAGAUGAAACUUCACCGAUGUCACUGGGUGUAUUGCAGUUCAGCAUCAAGCAUCAUGUAUGUUCCAGUGCUUCACAGGGAUCUAGUUUCACUUGUCUCAACCCUCUCUACCCCUGGCUCAAUGAAGCAGCACU